CUUGGUUCGACAAAGAAUUUGAGUUAUGAGGUCUUUUGCAAAGUGAACUUCUUUCAGGAAAAACGAUGAUCAGGUCUGGAGGUGCUCAUUGUGAGAAUACAAAUAGAAGCAAUCGUAAUGGAGUAGAUUGGCGAAAACAACUGGCUUAUGGUUUCAAGAUCUGUGCGAUGCUACUAAAUUUGGCUCAGAAACUAAUCGCUCAUCAGAUCAACAAUUAUUGUGGCCUCAGUUCAAGUUUGAAUGUCGGCAAGAUAAGGGCUAGUAGCGACUUCAAAGUUUCAGGAGGUAUGAGUACUUCGUAGACUUGAGAAAAACCUGGAGGAGCCUCACUGUUGAGGAGCAGAAAAGUGAGGAGAACUUCAUUGUUGCUGGAAUAGCUGAUCAAACUUAAGCAGGACUAUUUCCUCUGUCAUCUUUGUGUUAUAUUUGGUGGAAAGAUAGAAGGAUGAGACGAUGGGAUGAGAUACUACGUGAUGAAAACGAUGUUGGUGCUUCACUUUCAUUUGACUUUGCUGCUGCAGCAUCACUGUCAUAAAGAAUGUUUCACAUCGGCUGGAAAAACUUUUAUUUAACUGGACACUGCUCAACUGGAAACUUAAGCAGUGAGGGUCAG